rnacentral:rRNA from 1 species
CCUACGGGCGGCAGCAGUGGGGAAUAUUGGACAAUGGGCGAAAGCCUGAUCCAGCCAUGCCGCGUGUGUGAAGAAGGCCUUCGGGUUGUAAAGCACUUUCAGUGGGGAAGAAAGCCUUGGGGCUAAUACCCUCGAGGAAGGACAUCACCCACAGAAGAAGCACCGGCUAACUCCGUGCCAGCAGCCGCGGUAAUACGGAGGGUGCGAGCGUUAAUCGGAAUUACUGGGCGUAAAGCGCGCGUAGGCGGUCUGAUAAGCCGGUUGUGAAAGCCCCGGGCUCAACCUGGGAACGGCAUCCGGAACUGUCAGGCUAGAGUGCAGGAGAGGAAGGUAGAAUCCCCGGUGUAGCGGUGAAAUGCGUAGAGAUCGGGGGGAAUACCAGUGGCGAAGGCGGCCUUCUGGACUGCCACUGACGCUGAGGUGCGAAAGCGUGGGUAGCAAACAGGAUUAGAUACCCAGUAGUC